GAUGAAGAAGCAGCGAAAUGCGAUAAGUAAUGUGAAUUGCAGAAUUCAGUGAAUCAUCGAAUCUUUGAACGCACAUUGCGCCCCUUGGUAUUCCGAGGGGCAUGCCUGUUCGAGCGUCAUUAUAACCCCUCAAGCUCAGCUUGGUGUUGGGGCCUGCUGCACUGGCAGCCCUUAAAAUCAGUGGCGGCGCCAUCUGGCUCUAAGCGUAGUAAUUCUUCUCGCUAUGGAGUCCUGGUGGAUGCUUGCCAUCAACCCCCAAUUUUUCUAUGGUUGACCUCGGAUCAGGUAGGGAUACCCGCUGAACUUAAGCAUAUCAAUAAGCGGAGGA
rnacentral:misc_RNA from 1 species